AGCCACAUCAUGUUGAAAAAGCAGUUUCUGUAUGAACACUAAAGUUAAGCAACGUCGAGCCUGGUCAGUACCUAGAUGGGUGACUGCUAGGGAAUAACAGGUGCUGUAG